AACGAACGCUGGCGGCGUGGAUUAGGCAUGCAAGUCGAACGAGAAAGGUCUCUUCGGAGACCGAGUAAAGUGGCAAACGGGUGAGUAACGCGUGGGGAACCUACCUUUCGAUUGGGAAUAACACUUCUAACGAAGUGCUAAUACCGAAUACGAUCGGUUUGUCGCAUGGCAGACUGAUGAAGGGCGACCUCUGACUCAAGUUGUCGUCGAAAGAUGGUCCCGCGUCCCAUUAGCUAGUUGGUGAGGUAACGGCCCACCAAGGCGCCGAUGGGUAGCCGGCCUUAGCGGGUGUCCGGCCACACUGGGACUGAGAUACGGCCCAGACUCCUACGGGAGGCAGCAGUCGAGAGGCAUCCACAAUGGGGGAAACCCUGAUGGUGCGACGCCGCGUGGGUGAUGAAGGUUUUCGGAUCGUAAAGCCCUUUCAGCAGGGAAGAAUGGGACCGGUGCCAAUACCACC
rnacentral:rRNA from 1 species